rnacentral:rRNA from 1 species
UCCUACGGGGCGCAGCAGUGAGGAAUAUUGGUCAAUGGGCGAGAGCCUGAACCAGCCAAGUCGCGUGAGGGAAGACGGUCCUAUGGAUUGUAAACCUCUUUUGCCAGGGAGCAAAAAGCGGUACGUGUACCGCAUCGAGAGUACCCGGAGAAAAAGCAUCGGCUAACUCCGUGCCAGCAGCCGCGGUAAUACGGAGGAUGCGAGCGUUAUCCGGAUUUAUUGGGUUUAAAGGGUGCGCAGGCGGCGAGUUAAGUCAGCGGUAAAAAUUCGGGGCUCAACCCCGUCCGGCCGUUGAAACUGGGGGC